ensembl:vault_RNA Vault Vault RNA
AGGUCGGUGUAGCCUUGCGGUUCCUUCGAUUAACAACAAUUUGUUUAAUUGUUCUCCACCUCCAUGGUUCAAGUCCCGCGGGCGCUGCCUGGCCUUUUU